rnacentral:lncRNA from 1 species
GUAUCUACUCAUAAUGCAGUGUAAAACAAUUGCUGAGCCUGUUGAUACUGCAGAAGAGCAUAUUUAGCAUGCUGCUGAGAUGUCUGGAAAGCAGGGAGCACUGGGAGAGAAGGAGGGAUGCUUCUGUGUCCAAGGUAGCAUAGGCAGCAGCAGCCCCAUUAAGCUGAUGUACCUCGAGGAGAGCAAGGAGAAAAGGAAGUAAACCUGCAAGCCAGGAUGGCCUCAGAACUGGGAUCCCGGGCAGCUCUCCGACUCCACGUGCCUGUGCCGUCCCCUGGGAUGGGGCCUCCUGCUGCCCUGGCCACUGGGGACCUUGCAGGGGACAUGGAGGCGCUGGCUGUCACAGCACCAGAAGCAGCACAGAAAGAUGCAACAGCAUCACGAGCAGAGGUGGAUGCCUUAAAAGCAGCAGCAGUAAGAGGGGAGAUGGAAAGUCCAAAGGGAAGUCCCGGUGGAAACCUGGUCAACCCUGACAGAGCAGCGGUGGAAGCAUCAGAAAACCCAGAGGCGGAAAGAGUCGCUGAAGCAUUUGCCCGAGCAGCAGAAAAAAUAGCGAAAGCAGAAGUAACCAAGGUGUUGCAAUCAGCAAUAGCUGAGCUCAAAGAGAAGAAGAGGAGCAUGUGGCUAAAGCAGAGGAACACCAUUCAACUGGAGAAGGAGGACUUGGUAAAAGAGGGAGAGAUGAUAUGAGAUGGCGGAGAGGUGGCAUUGUGGGUCGUACCCAUAGGGGGGCUGGUACCCUGAUACUGAGUGCUAUGGUCACUCCAGGAAUGCAGUAGGGCUGUCCAUUUUGUCUUUUUUGUGAGUGCCCAUACUAUUAAAAAAUAAAGAUAUGCCAUAUUUGAAGACCCUUGUCUCU